UACGUAGGGGCAAGCGUUGUCCGGAAUUAUUGGGCGUAAAGCGCGCGCAGGCGGUUCUUUUAAGUCUGGUGUUUAAACCCGAGGCUCAACUUCGGGUCGCACUGGAAACUGGGGAACUUGAGUGCAGAAGAGGAGAGUGGAAUUCCACGUGUAGCGGUGAAAUGCGUAGAUAUGUGGAGGAACACCAGUGGCGAAGGCGACUCUCUGGGCUGUACCUGACGCUGAGGCGCGAAAGCGUGGGAGCGAACCGG
rnacentral:rRNA from 1 species